UACAGAGGUCCCAAGCGUUGUUCGGAUUCACUGGGCGUAAAGGGUGCGUAGGCGGCCUGACAAGUCUGAUGUGAAAUCCCUGGGCUCAACCCAGGGCCUGCAUCGGAAACUGUCGGGCUUGAGUAUGGGAGAGGUGAGUGGAAUUUCCGGUGUAGCGGUGAAAUGCGUAGAUAUCGGAAGGAACACCUGUGGCGAAAGCGGCUCACUGGACCAUUACUGACGCUGAGGCACGAAAGCUAGGGGAGCAAACAGG
rnacentral:rRNA from 1 species